rnacentral:misc_RNA from 1 species
CUUGAAAUCCUCCUCAUCAAGCUCAUCCGUAGCAGUUCCAUCCAAUUCCUUGAUCAGCCCUUUUAUCAAUUCAAACAAAACCUCAACCUUGUCAGCAGUUGAUACACAGGUAUCAUUCUUCAUGAUGCUCUCAAUGAUUAUUGUUGCCAUGAUCUUGUUUGUUCCAGCAUCAAGGUGAUCCAUGACACGUGGAUAAUUUGAAAGAGUUAGAACUGUUACAAUGUCAGUGUAUUUCUCCAAGGGUGCACUCAGGAGAGCGACAACUUGUUUUGUCGCUUUACUAUCCUCAAGCUUGGAUUUACCAGAAAGUUUCUUGACACAUGCUCCCUACCAACAAUCAGCAAAGCAAAUCAAG